rnacentral:rRNA from 1 species
AGUGAACGCUGGCGGUAGGCCUAACACAUGCAAGUCGAACGGCAGCACAGUAAGAGCUUGCUCUUACGGGUGGCGAGUGGCGGACGGGUGGGGUAUACAUCGGAAUCUACUUUUUCGUGGGGGAUAACGUAGGGAAACUUACGCUAAUACCGCAUACGACCUACGGGUGAAAGCAGGGGAUCUUCGGACCUUGCGCGAUUGAAUGAGCCGAUGUCGGAUUAGCUAGUUGGCGGGGUAAAGGCCCACCAAGGCGACGAUCCGUAGCUGGUCUGAGAGGAUGAUCAGCCACACUGGAACUGAGACACGGUCCAGACUCCUACGGGAGGCAGCAGUGGGGAAUAUUGGACAAUGGGCGCAAGCCUGAUCCAGCCAUACCGCGUGGGUGAAGAAGGCCUUCGGGUUGUAAAGCCCUUUUGUUGGGAAAGAAAAGCAGCAGGUUAAUACCCCGCUGUUCUGACGGUACCCAAAGAAUAAGCACCGGCUAACUUCGUG